rnacentral:rRNA from 1 species
UGAACCGGACAGAUCUACCGAGCAGCGUAGAUUGUCAAUGCGAGCUGACCAGCAUGCGUGCAGAUGACUGCCUAUGCUGUAACUGCUUGUCAGCAUACUGUACGAGUAGUAGCUGAGUACUGAGGAUAGAUCGCUACUCGUGCAGCAGCGCGUUAUACGAGAUCGAGCGUAUCGAUUAAUGGUUUAAAGGUGCGUAGCGCCUAUAGUCAGGUGAAAUACGUGCUCACCAUCGCAGUGCCUUUGAUACUGAUGGGCUGGAUGCCAUUGGAGUGGGCCGAAUAAGACAAGUAGCCGUGAAAUGCAUAGAUAUGUCUAGACUUCCGAUGCGAAGGCAGCUCACUUAGCUGGUAUUGACGGUGAUGCCAGAAAGCGUGGGAUCGGACAGGAUUAGAUUCCCUGGUAGUUCCCGCCCUUAACGAUGAUAACUUGAUGUUGGCGAUAGACAGGCAGCGUUCCAGCGGAAGCGUUAAGUUAUUCCCCUGGGGAGUACGCCCGCAAGGGUGAAAAUCAAAGGAAUUGGCGGGGGCCCGCCCCAGCGGAGGAACAUGUGGUUUAAUUUGGUGAUUCGCGAGGAACCUUUACCGGGCUUGAAAAUUAGUGAAGAGGGCAGAGACGCCAUUGUCCUUUGGGGCCAGGAACUAGGUGCCGCAAGGCCGUUGUCAACUUGUUCCGUGAGGUGGUGGGUUAAAUUCCGCAACGAGCGCCACCCCUAUGGUUAGUUGCCCGCCAGUAAAGGUGGGGACUCUAAACAGACUGCCUGUGCAAACAGAGAGGAAGGUGGGGACGACGUCAAGUCAUCAUGGCCCUUACGUCCGGGGCUACACACGUGCUACAAUGGAUGGUACAGCGGGCAGCUACAUAGCAAUAUGAUGCUAAUCUCUAAAAGCCAUUCACAGUUCGGAUUGGGGUCUGCAACUCGACCCCAUGAAGUUGGAUUCGCUAGUAAUCGCGUAUCAGCAAUGACGCGGUGAAUACGUUCCCGGGCCUUGUACACACCGCCCGUCAAGCCAUGAAAGUUGGGGGUACCUAAAGCAUGUUACCGCAAGGAGCG